rnacentral:lncRNA from 1 species
GGACUGGCUAUGAUUCAUGGCGAGAAGCUUUACGCUUUAAAGCCAAAUAUGAGAGAAAAAAAUCAAGAGCAUUAUUAAGAGGGGGCACCGAAAAUGCCCCACCUAGAAGGAGGCCUGCAGAGGAUGAACAUGCUGCUCCUCAGCGUACUGAAAGACCUAAUGUGGCAAUCGACAUGGCUGAUGCGGAAGAUGGAGAAACAGUGGCUGCGCACUGUUCUGCAAUGGCUAAAGAAAUGUCAAAGGCCAGGCCCGACAUGGCCUAUAUUGAAGACUCUGAGUCGGACUUUGGCCAGC